rnacentral:rRNA from 1 species
GCAUAUCAUAGCGGAGAAAAGAAAAUAACAAUGAUUUCCCUAGUAACGGCGAGUGAAGAGGAAAGAGCUCAAAGUUGGAAACUGUUUGGCUUAGCUAAACCGUAUUGUAAACUGUAGAAACAUUUUUCCUGGCACGCCGGAUUAAUAAGUCCUUUGGAACAAGGCAUCAUGGAGGGUGAGAAUCCCGUCUUUGAUCCGAGUAGUUGUCUUUUGUGAUAUGUUUUCAAAGAGUCAGGUUGUUUGGGAAUGCAGCCUAAAUUGGGUGGUAAAUCUCACCUAAAGCUAAAUAUUUGCGAGAGACCGAUAGCGAACAAGUACCGUGAGGGAAAGAUGAAAAGAACUUUGAAAAGAGAGUUAAACAGUAUGUGAAAUUGUUAAAAGGGAACCGUUUGGAGCCAGACUGGUUUGACUGUAAUCAACCUAGAAUUCGUUCUGGGUGCACUUGCAGUCUAUACCUGCCAACAACAGUUUGAUUUGGAGGAAAAAAUUAGUAGGAAUGUAGCCUCUCGAGGUGUUAUAGCCUACUAUCAUACUCUGGAUUGGACUGAGGAACGCAGCGAAUGCCUUUAGGCAAGAUUGCUGGGUGCUUUCGCUAAUAAAUGUUAGAAUUUCUGCUUCGGGUGGUGCUAAUGUUUAAAGGAGGAACACAUCUAGUAUAUUUUUUAUUCGCUUAGGUUGUUGGCUUAAUGACUCUAAAUGACCCGUCUUGAAACACGGACCAAGGAGUCCACCAUAAGUGCAAGUAUUUGAGUGACAAACUCAUAUGCGUAAGGAAACUGAUUGAUACGAAAUCUUUUGAUGGCAGUAUCACCCGGCGUUGACGUUUUAUACUGAACUGACCGAGGUAAAGCACUUAUGAUGGGACCCGAAAGAUGGUGAACUAUUGCCUGAAUAGGGUGAAGCCAGAGGAAACUCUGGUGGAGGCUCGUAGCGAUUCUGACGUGCAAAUCGAUCGUCAAAUUUGGGUAUAGGGGGCGAAAGACUAAUCGAACCAUCUAGUAGCUGGGUUCUGCGA